rnacentral:rRNA from 1 species
CUCGAAUUUCUAUAAGAGGUCCAGCCUGCCCAGUGACCAUGUUCAACGGCCGCGGUAUCCUAACCGUGCGAAGGUAGCGUAAUCACUUGUUCUUUAAAUGUGGACUAGUAUGAAUGGCAUCACGAAGGUUAUACUGUCUCCUUUUUCUAAUCAGUGAAACUAAUCUUCCCGUGAAGAAGCGGGAAUAACCCUAUAAGACGAGAAGACCCUAUGGAGCUUAAAACAAUAUAACAUUUGCUACACAACUUAUUAACUUCCGAACAUUUAACUUUAUAAGCAAUAUGUCUAUAAGUUUUUGGUUGGGGUGACCGCGGAGCAUAACACAACCUCCACAUUGAAAGAACCUUUUCUAAGCUAAGAUUUACAAAUCCAAGCAUCAGUAUUCUGACAUCCAUUGACCCAAUAUAUUGAACAACGAACCAAGUUACCCUAGGGAUAACAGCGCAAUCCACUUCAAGAGCUCCUAUCGACAAGUGGGUUUACGACCUCGAUGUUGGAUCAGGGUAUCCCAGUGGUGCAGCCGCUACUAAAGGUUCGUUUGUUCAACGAUUAAAACCCU